rnacentral:SRP_RNA from 1 species
GCCAGGCAUGGUGACGUGUGCCUGUAAUCCCAGCUACUCAGGAGGCUGAGGCAGGAGAAUUGCUUGAACCCGGGAGGCAGAGGUUGCAGUGAGCCGAGAUCGUGCCACUGCACUCCAGCCUGGGUGACAGAGCAAGAUUCUGUCUCGG